CCAAACUUAAAAACUGAAAAGUAAAAACCCAACUACUACUUUCAAGUGUCAGCGGAAACUUUCAGCAGAAUCGACAUUUCAACAUUGCCCUAAUCAGGUCUAAAUCCUUCCUUUUCUUUUUCUUUCUUCAACAUUUCAGCCUUCUUUCUUUUUCUUCUUUUUUUUCUAAAUCCCUAACUAAAUCCUUCUUUCUUUUUCUUCUUUUUCUAAAUCUUUAAUUUCUUUAUUCACAAUAUAGAAAGGGUUAUAACCGUGGGAACGAGGAAGAACAUAAAGAACUCUCAAAAAUUACUCUAAAAGGAAGUGGAGAAGAAAGGGAGAAAGUUGAACCGAGAAUUAAAGAGAAAAGCGACUCUUUGUGCUUUAGUAGGUAUUGUAUCGAUGUAUCUAAAUUCUUAAUAUCUUCUUUCUUUGAAACAAAGUUGUUCGUAGGUUGAAUAUUUGUUUCAUGACGUAUUUUGGUGAGAAAUAUGUUUGACUUGUUAAUCUCACGAAAGCAGUGUUUUCUUUAAUACACUUGUUCCCAUGAAAGCAAUGGUUGUAGACUUAAAUGUAUUGAAGACAUGUCAUGUACUUGUAUAUACAUAUAGAUAUGUGUGAAUAUGGAAAAAAAAAAAAAAAGGAUGGAUCGGGUCUAUUCGAACUUAAAAACGGACUUUAGCAUGACCCGUAAUCAGCUCUAGUUAGUUAUGGAGAGGAGAGAGGAGAUAGAAUAGAAAGAAAAUGAAUCAUGGAGAAAGAAUAAGGAAAAAAGGGGGGGGGGGGAAGAGAGAAAAGGAAUAAAAAAUGGUCUUAACAAUAGAAUAGAUAGAUUUAAUAAUGGAGUGUCUAAUUUAGUUAACUUUUUUAAUGGUGAUGACCAAAUUAAUUUUCUAGAAAAUUAAGAAG
rnacentral:lncRNA from 1 species